rnacentral:ncRNA from 1 species
UAUAAAACAGGUGAUGAAGUUCGCCCUGGCAACCGCCAAAAUGCGUUAAGCUGAUGACUUCUGUUAAAAU